rnacentral:lncRNA from 1 species
CCUAAUAUUAAUUCCACCAAGUGAAGUGCAAGAACUAAGUUAUUUGAUUACCUAUAUAUACAUGAACUUACGGUUACAGCUCAACAGCUGGCCUCUGUAGCUCAGUUGGUUAGAGCGCUGCUCCGGAAUCGCAGGGCCGUAGGUUCGAUUCCUACCAGAGGACCUUGUGCUGCAUUUUUUUAGUCGUUCCAGGUUAGGUCUUAAAAUGUAUAUAUUCUCACUUGGAUUACAAACCCUAACAUCCUAAUAUUAAUUCCACCAAGUGAAGUGCAAGAACUAAGUUAUUCAAGUCC